CGGCCUUCUGGACAGUACUGACGCUGAGAUGCGAAAGCGUGGGGAGCAAACAGGAUUAGAUACCUGGUAGUCACGCUGUAAACGAUGUCGAUUUGGAGGUGUUCCCUUGAGGAGUGGCUUCCGGAGCUAACGCGUUAAAUCGACCGCCUGGGGAGUACGGCCGCAAGGUUAAAACUCAAAUGAAUUGACGGGGGCCCGCACAAGCGGUGGAGCAUGUGGUUUAAUUCGAUGCAACGCGAAGAACCUUACCUACUCUUGACAUCCAGAGAAUUUAGCAGAGAUGCUUUAGUGCCUUCGGGAACUCUGAGACAGGUGCUGCAUGGCUGUCGUCAGCUCGUGUUGUGAAAUGUUGGGUUAAGUCCCGCAACGAGCGCAACCCUUAUCCUUUGUUGCCAGCACAUUAUGGUGGGAACUCAAAGGAGACUGCCGGUGAUAAACCGGAGGAAGGUGGGGAUGACGUCAGGUCAUCAUGGCCCUUACGAGUAGGGCUACACACGUGCUACAAUGGCGUAUACAAAGAGAAGCGACCUCGCGAGAGCAAGCGGAACUCAUAAAGUACGUCGUAGUCCGGAUUGGAGUCUGCAACUCGACUCCAUGAAGUCGGAAUCGCUAGUAAUCGUAGAUCAGAAUGCUACGGUGAAUACGUUCCCGGGCCUUGUACACACCGCCCGUCACACCAUGGGAGUGGGUUGCAAAAGAAGUAGGUAGCUUAACCUUCGGGAGGGCGCUUACCACUUUGUGAUUCAUGACUGGGGUGAAGUCGUAACAAGGUAACCA
rnacentral:rRNA from 1 species